rnacentral:rRNA from 1 species
UCCUACGGGAGGCAGCAGUAGGGAAUCUUCCGCAAUGGACGAAAGUCUGACGGAGCAACGCCGCGUGAGUGAUGAAGGUUUUCGGAUCGUAAAGCUCUGUUGUUAGGGAAGAACAAGUGCGAGAGUAACUGCUCGCACCUUGACGGUACCUAACCAGAAAGCCACGGCUAACUACGUGCCAGCAGCCGCGGUAAUACGUAGGUGGCAAGCGUUGUCCGGAAUUAUUGGGCGUAAAGGGCUCGCAGGCGGUUUCUUAAGUCUGAUGUGAAAGCCCACGGCUCAACCGUGGAGGGUCAUUGGAAACUGGGGGACUUGAGUGCAGAAGAGAAGAGUGGAAUUCCACGUGUAGCGGUGAAAUGCGUAGAGAUGUGGAGGAACACCAGUGGCGAAGGCGACUCUUUGGUCUGUAACUGACGCUGAGGCGCGAAAGCGUGGGGAGCAAACAGGAUUAGAUACCCUGGUAGUCCACGCCGUAAACGAUGAGCGCUAAGUGUUAGAGGGUUUCCGCCCUUUAGUGCUGCAGCAAACGCAUUAAGCACUCCGCCUGGGGAGUACGGCCGCAAGGCUGAAACUCAAAUGAAUUGACGGA